GAGUUUGAUCGUGGCUCAGAUUGAACGCUGGCGGCAUGCCUUACACAUGCAAGUCGAACGGCAGCACGGGAGCUUGCUCCUGGUGGGCGAGUGGCGAACGGGUGAGUAAUGCAUCGGAACGUAUCCUGGAGUGGGGGAUAACGUAGCGAAAGUUACGCUAAUACCGCAUAUUCUGUGAGCAGGAAAGCGGGGGACCUUCGGGCCUCGCGCUCUUGGAGCGGCCGAUGUCGGAUUAGCUAGUUGGUGAGGUAAAGGCUCACCAAGGCGACGAUCCGUAGCAGGUCUGAGAGGAUGAUCUGCCACACUGGAACUGAGACACGGUCCAGACUCCCACGGGAGGCAGCAGUGGGAAUUUUGGACAAUGGGGGCAACCCUGAUCCAGCCAUGCCGCGUGAGUGAAGAAGGCCUCGG
rnacentral:rRNA from 1 species